GUAAUAUAGAUCAAAGUAUCGCUCCUGCGGCAAUACCAAGCUCCGCGUGUGUGUGCGUAUUGUUCUUCUGGCCAGUUGGCCGCUGUGUACGCCGGUGUUGUUUGGUGGUCAGAUCCAUCAAAGUAGUACACGUACGUGUGUCUCCAGCCUCAAGCAAUUGGCUGUGUACGUGCAUAUCUAGCUAGCUUGGGGCAGCAAUCCAAGACCGUCAGCGUUGCUUCGGUUUGUUGUCGUUCGUUCGUCGUCGGUCAUCGCCGUCACCGGAAAGUACUCGGUGUCAGGUCUAGAUCAAGAGGUGCAACCUUAAUAAAAAAAUAAUUUCACAUGGCAGUGAGAGAUGAUAGCCAACAUGCAAUGAAUAAAAUAAUCUAUUAUGGCUGCAUUAGUAGCACGAACAUAGUAGGAACACCUCCCAAAGGUUAGCUACGAACCGAACGCCUUUCUUUUUUCCCAUGCCACUGUUUUGGGUCAUGCAGGAUUGUACUGUACAGCCAACCCCAUUCCUGUACUUUUUAGUAAAACUUCUUCUAUUUACUAAUUGGAGGCACCAUUCAAGUAUUCUCAUUAAUCCACAUCAUGAAAAUUAAUUACACCGUUGGAUUAUAGAAUAUACGUCUAGGAUAAAAGAAAAACUUGCGUAACAUAGAUUGCUCCGUAUGUCCACAAUAAAGGCAUCUAUCACGUCCUAGGUAGUAGUAUAAAAAAACAUUGGUAUGUAGUCUCUAGAAAGAAAAAGGGAAAAGGCAGAAAGAAAACAAAAAGAGGAAAGAAAUCAGCGUGGAAAACUGUACAUAUAUCACGGAACGUGGGGAUGUUGGAAUCCCAUAACUUACCCGAGAGAUAACUCCACGAACUACUGCCUCCGCGACUCGACAACCAAAAUCCCCAUGCCCAGCUUCCAAUCGCCUUUUCGUUCCAGCGAACAUGCGCCGGCGCCGGCCACCAGGACGAGGCUGUUCGGCCGCGUCAACAUGGGUAAUUUCAUAUUGGUGUAGGCUGAUUGGCUGAUUUCCUAUUGGCGUAGGCUGAUGAGGCUAACAUGAUGGAGAAUGAGAAGAUGCCGCGGCGCUGGAGGCAGGAGGGAGAGUACCAACGACCCUUCCGUCGUGUAACCAAGGCGUACUGCAUGCAUCCUGCUGAAGUCUAUUGAGAGAGAGAGGUUGUCGAGAUGGUGAAGAAGUAGGGAACGAAGAUGAUCAUCAUUGGGAAUUAAGACGCCAAGUAGAUCGCCGAUGGGGAGGUUUAGUUCCAUGACAAGCUCGACAAUGACGUCAAGGGGAACACCCACCUACAACACGGAGCUACCCAGCAGGUAUACGUACUGGAAACAGAAACAUUACUGUAGUAGCUAUGUGAAACAAAUAUACAACGUGAGACCUAAUAACAUUAGGACAGUCAGCAUAAUAAUUAAGUUUCCACUAUUCAUUGGAAUUUUGUUGUAAAGUUCUAGAUCAACUCAUCAAUACAUAUUUAUGAACUCCCAUGAUUUAGUAAUUUUCUGUAAUGUGCGAGAGAAUAUUGUGUUCUUAGAGUAUUUACUUAGUGUCGAAACAAGCUUUCUCACUAUUUUAUAUAUAAACCACCAUGUCCAUAUGUACAAGCCGUUAGGUAUGCCUUAGACCUUAGGAGCACUUUGAUGAUGUGGUGAGAUUUCAAACGACCCCGCCUUCUCCAUGUGUGGUACACGUACGUACAUCCCUAACUGUAAAAAUUUGCUGUGACUGCGGCCCAUUCCGAGAAUUAUCUUGCUUGGUCAGUUCCUCCGCUGAUUAGUUCGCAAUAAUUAUGAAAGUGUGUUCAUCAGCCUCCGUCAUGUGUCUCCUGCUAAGGAUAAUAUAUGAAGGCGUGUUCAUCAGCCUCCGUCAUGCGUCUCCUGCUAAGGAUAAAAUACUGGAUCUUUGGUGUGUCGGAAAGAAUGACGUGCAAGGGUUGGGGACAAUGAGUUAACAGAUUCUGACCCAUUUUUUUCAUCUCUUAGUAGUUCUCCAUAUACCCCAGUGCAUAUCGUUGAGUCUUUACUUUUACCUUUGUUUCCAUAUUGUAACAGGCAAACAUGACAGGAGAAGUGCUUAAUUGGUGUGUUCCAAGCAAGAUUGGUGUGUUGUGUUUCACAUCCGGACAUGGAUGUGGGUAUCUUCAUACCUUUUUACUAACUGGUGACUAUGCAUAUGUGGUCUGCUAAAUAAUAACAAGGAGUAUUUUUUGAUCUAUGGAGUUCUCCCUGUUCCAAAAAAUAGAAUAACAAGGAGUAUAUACCAGUACAUAUGGACGAAAACAUCUAUUGUAUUGUAUAUUCAACACACGGAUUCCAUUGUUUCUUUCAAUUUCAAAGAACGUGUCUACUUGAAAAUAUUCUUUGGCUUAUGUGUGGGACAGGCAGGCCAGCAGCAGAACCCCACAAGAGCUAACAAACUUAUGCUGAGUUACAAGUUCAACCUUAUUCGAUUGGCCAAUUUUUUUAGUUCUGCAUACUCACAUUCAGGACCACAAAGUUGUAGAUAACAUCUCCCUUUUAUGCAUGGAGAAGGUAACACUACUCCAAUAAAUUCGAAGUUAAUUUAGAUCUUUCAAUUGACAAAUUCUUUAGGAUACCUCUGAAGUUGGGACUUAUAUAUACAAAUUUUUCAAUCAUUCCGUAGUUACAUGGUUCGCUUAAUUUUUGGACUGCCAAUACUUUAUUAAGUGGUUGAUAGAAAUAUGACCUGUCAUUUAUAUUAAAAGAUGGGUUAAUUUUAUGGGUUUUUUGUGGCGGACUAUCAUUACCUCUCGCCUAUUCCUCCCAUAAUGCCACUGGGUGCAUACUGCUAUAAGGUAUUUUACAACUGAACUGAGCAGUUUUAAUAUAUUUGCACAAGAAUGACCAGUACUGGAAAAUCGUUCUGGCCACUUUCUUAUAUCGAUGUGAUUGUUAUUGCAACUGUCUUCUAAAGUCACACAUAAUUUCAUAUAGAGACCCGCUUCGGUAGAGCCCCCUGACCUUCCACACUGAGGUAUGUAUAAUGAGUUGUUCGUCGGUUGUAUCAAUCUGAAACCAAACGAUCCUCAACUUUCAGUUGUAUCAAUCUGAUGUUAACUUUUUGUUUUUGAAUUAUAUUCCCAAUGUAUUGCUGUACUUAAGGAUGUGUUCUUGAGAAAGUUCGCAAGAUGUUCUCCUUUUUACUAAUAUUUUUUAGUUACAUGUAUAAAACUGAUUGAUAGAAUCUCAGAGUUUCAAAGAAGAAAUCAUUUUCUUUUGAGCAGACAAUGUUAGUAUUUUUAGUACUAUCUGAAUCAAUUGGUCAUGGAAUUUUGCCUUUCACAAUGGUAGCAGCAAGGUUGUAUCAUCCACUACAUCAACCCCAUCAACAUUAUUUCAUUCAGCUACGCUCAAUGUUAACCAUUAGUUUAGAUUCUUCUAGAUGAACCAAUGAAUUCACGCUGUUAUUUUGGUGAGUGAUUUUGUACUAAAUUGUUUUGGUGUUUUUCCAGAUAUAUAACAAAUCAAAAUGCAGUCAAGAAGAAAAAAAUAAGCCAACUUAGUAAAAACAUGAGUAGGAAUACACUUUAUUCUAUUUCUUGCCUUUAUAUGAGAAUUAUUAUGAUUGUAUAUUCCUAUUUUGUUAACAAAGUGAUCCUUCCUUGCGAAUAUAUAUUAGCCUGCUGGUAUAUCUUCUUCAUUUACGAAUUGGAAUGUAAAACUAAAGAAAUAAGCAAUGGAGAAUUAAAACUUUGUGAAUUAAUCAAUGGUUUGAUUCAAAUUCAGAUAAUGGUCACUAUCUCAAAUCUAUUGAAAUUUAUUGUUCGUAUUCCAGGACUUAGACUCACAUCAUACUGAUGAGGGAAAAAUAUUGAAAUAUAUGACACCUUUUGUACUAUUUUGAUUUAAAAUGUUUAUUUCCACACUGUAUAUUGGUAUAACACCAUAAUGUUUAAACUGUGUAAAAAUCCCUAGCCCGUGCAGAUGCAUGGGUUGAUGACUAGUUGUUUUCCUAACCUGUAUUAGGAACGGGGCCUUAUUGUUUUGAGAAAACAAGGCGGCGAAGGCUGCAUUCAUGCACGCCCGGACCUGGAUGCCACUUGCCAAGCUGCCAGUCUUAGAAUAGGUUAACAAUGUGCUAUUAGGCUAAACUUGCAGACCAGACCACGUUUGCAUUUUAAGCUUUGGAUAGGAAUGAAUGAAGCUGCUGUGCAGGCAGUGGUAUCCAGGGCGUAACAAA